rnacentral:rRNA from 1 species
UACGUAGGCAGCAAGCGUUGUUCGGAGUUACUGGGCGUAAAGGGUGUGUAGGCGGUUCUUUAAGUUUGGUGUGAAAUCUCCCGGCUCAACUGGGAGGGUGCGCCGAAUACUGAGGGACUUCGAGUGCGGGAGAGGAAAGUGGAAUUCCUGGUGUAGCGGUGAAAUGCGUAGAUAUCAGGAGGAACACCGGUGGUGUAGACGGCUUCUGGACCGUAACUGACGCUGAGACACGAAAGCGUGGGUAGCAAACAGG